CGAAUUCAAGCAAAGGGCUCCUGUAAGAGUUGAGGUGGUGAGGGACCAUGGUGAGGGUAAGCUGAUGACUAGGCCCUUAAGUCCCGGGGAAUGGCGGGAGAGUUCAAGUCCUGUUCGGUAUCAUACUGAAGAGAAAUGGAAUAAGCCUUCUAGACCCGUUCAGUAUGACGUCGAAGAGAAAUGGAAUAAGCCAUCGAGUCCUGUUCGGUAUCGUGUCGAAGAGAAAUGGAAUAAGCCAUCUAGUCCUGUUGGUUAUGGUGUCGAAGAGAAAUGGAGUAGGCCUUCGAGUCCUGUUCGGUACCAUGUCGAAGAGAAAUGGACGAACCGGCCUUCAAGUCCGGUUAAGGAACGUCCACAACAAGUUCCGGAUUUCAUUACCAAAGUUCAAACUCAAGCUAGCCGACCAAACAAGUUCGGUCCUCUCAGCGCAACAUAUUGGCGCCAGACACCAGCCACGACCACCACAACCGUUGGUGGUCCGUGGAACAACCAGAGUCAUGGUGGGGGAUGGUCCAAAGGACACGAGGCUAACCUUAGCCAACCAACCAGCAACAUCAACACUGCCGUGGAAUACUUAAAGGAAGCUGUUAAACCACCUGCUCCCAGGUAUGAUGGAUAUCCUAACACCAUUGACAGCAGGGAAGCUGAAAGAAAAUAUGGCGGCUUGGCUGUCG
rnacentral:lncRNA from 1 species